rnacentral:rRNA from 1 species
AUUGAACGCUGGCGGCAGGCUUAACACUUGCAAGUCGAGCGGAGAUGAGGUGCUUGCACCUUAUCUUAGCGGCGGACGGGUGAGUAAUGCCUAGGAAUCUGCCUAUUAGUGGGGGACAACAUUCCGAAAGGAAUGCUAAUACCGCAUACGUCCUACGGGGAGAAAAGCAGGGGAUCUUCGGACCUUGCGCUAAUAGAUGAGCCUAAGUCGGAUUAGCUAGUUGGUGGGGUAAAGGCCUACCAAGGCGACGAUCUGUAGCGGGUCUGAGAGGAUGAUCCGCCACACUGGGACUGAGACACGGCCCAGACUCCUACGGGAGGCAGCAGUGGGGAAUAUUGGACAAUGGGGGGAACCCUGAUCCAGCCAUGCCGCGUGUGUGAAGAAGGCCUUAUGGUUGUAAAGCACUUUAAGCGAGGAGGAGGCUACUGAGACUAAUACUCUUGGAUAGUGGACGUUACUCGCAGAAUAAGCACCGGCUAACUCUGUG